AAGAUCAUACUUUUAGGGAUCAUUUCUAUAGUGUGUAUCUUGACCGUGACGUCUAUGACUUGACGGUUUCGCAACCGCGUUGAUGCGUUGUUUCCACCCUCUCUGAGCGUGAAAUUCGGUUAUCGCCGUGCAGCAUGCUGCCGUGGUAAUCGUUGAAGAUCGCUCCGCUGUCGAUAUUGAGAGCGGAGGAGAGGGUGGCUGUCUGAGCGGU